rnacentral:rRNA from 1 species
CCUACGGGCGGCAGCAGUGGGGAAUAUUGGACAAUGGGGGGAACCCUGAUCCAGCCAUGCCGCGUGUGUGAAGAAGGCCCUCGGGUUGUAAAGCACUUCCAGUGAGGAAGAACGCCUGGUGGUUAAUACCCAUCAGGAAAGACAUCACUCACAGAAGAAGCACCGGCUAACUCCGUGCCAGCAGCCGCGGUAAUACGGAGGGUGCGAGCGUUAAUCGGAAUUACUGGGCGUAAAGCGCGCGUAGGUGGCUUGAUAAGCCGGUUGUGAAAGCCCCGGGCUCAACCUGGGAACGGCAUCCGGAACUGUCAAGCUGGAGUGCAGGAGAGGAAGGUAGAAUUCCCGGUGUAGCGGUGAAAUGCGUAGAGAUCGGGAGGAAUACCAGUGGCGAAGGCGGCCUUCUGGACUGACACUGACACUGAGGUGCGAAAGCGUGGGUAGCAAACAGGAUUAGAUACCCUAGUAGUC